UACAGAGGUGCCAAGCGUUUAGGCGGAAUCACUGGGCUUAAAGCGCGUGUAGGUGGACGGGUAAGUAUCUUGUGAAAUCCCACGGCUCAACCGUGGAACUGCUGGAUAUACUGCUUGUCUUGAGGCACUUAGGGGCAGCUGGAACAAAUGGUGGAGCGGUGAAAUGCGUAGAUAUCAUUUGGAACGCCAAAGGCGAAAGCAGGCUGCUGGGAGUGAUCUGACACUGAGACGCGAAAGCCAGGGGAGCAAACGGGG
rnacentral:rRNA from 1 species